CUCUACUCUGGGAGAAGAGGUGACAGGGUACUGGAUAAACUGGCAGGCCUCCUCUCUAUAAUCUCUGACCAAAUCUCAAGAUUCCUGUGACUGUUCAAGAUGAACUGGCCUCCGGGACCAACAAACAGGACCAGCCCUUACCCUAGUUUCCCAGCAAGCUCUGGAAGCCCACAUUCAUGCUUCUCCUCAGUCCAUUCUUGGGGCCUAGCAAAGCACUUCAUGUGGCCCACAUUCAAACACAGGAAGUCAUAGGCCUGGAAACCCUGAAAGUUCCUCUCCAUCCCUCAUGACUUCAAGGCCUUGGGCUCUCUAGCUUCCUGAUCCUGAACAAAGUGCAGGGCAGGCAGGGGCCACCUUGUGGCUCCAUGAGGAACUGCAGCAGCCUUUCUAAAGGCCUCCCUGGAGUGCGCCAAGAAAAGGACAAAGCUAACAAAUACCAGGUUUGUACCCCUCUCCCUCCUCCCAUCUUCCUUCCCCAGCUGCCUUAGUCUUUGCCUUCCUCAGCUUCUCCUACUGGGACCCUCAACACCAGGCAGUGAUACUUGCCUGAGUUCUAGGUGUUGUGUCCUCUUUCUCCUGGUAAGUAAAGCGGAGUGGACUAACCUUAGUCACUCUGACCAGAUCAUGAUCUAGGUAAGUAAAGCAGAGUGAACUAACCUUAGUUAUUCUUUCUGACUAGGUCAUAUCAGAAAGCCAAGAUAUAGGAUGAGGGUCGGGGCAAGAGGGGUUUGGGGGACAGCUGCUCAAGAAAGGCCCCAGGUAUCAGCCUGUUGGCAGAAUUUGCAAGACUUCCCCAACUCAGGAGUGGAAUAUUUUGUCAGGUUUGUAGGACAUAGGACAUCAACUUAGGGCCUUCAAGGACCACUAGUCCACAUGGCUCUGUGUCACCAAGUCUGUCAAGACCAACACCAGUGAAACUUCUACAAACAGACAAGAGAUGUAAGGACCUUGUUGCAUCCCAUUGAACCUCAGAUGCUUCCAGGAAUUCCUGGGGUCAUGCCAAAGACACAAAUGUAACCAUUAAGCACAUUCUCAGCAUAGCCUUUUAGAAAAAGACAGGAAAUUAAAAGAAUAAUAAGAUUUAAACAGACGGAGUUUCAUAAGGAAAAAAGCUGUCAAAGAAAGAGGUUCCUCCAAAAGCAAGAGGCACUAAUCAUUAAAGGGAGUCUACCAAAGAUGCAAAGAGUAGAUUAUUCUGAUACUAUUAUAUUGUUCCAGAAUACAGAAAAGGAAAAUUUCCAAAUUCUUUUUAUGAAGUAAAAAAAAAUCCCUGAUAUCAAAGCCUGUCCAAAGAUAAACAACAAACUGAGAAAAUAUAUUUUUAGCUCACAUUAAGGUCAAAGGGCUAAACUUGAUAAAAUAUAAAAAGUUCCUAGAGAUAAUUGGGAAACAACAACAACUGAUUGAAAAUGGGCAAGGAAGUGGGCAGUCGAUUCACAGAAAAGAAAACAAAAAUAGUUUUUUUUUUAUUAGAAAUGUUCAAGCUCACUAAUAAUAAGAGAUAUAAAGCAAUCAUAAGAUACCAUUUUUUUACCUUUCAAAAUAAUAGCUCCUCAAUAAAUAAUAGUUCCUCAAUUCCACAAUGUGUUAGUAAGCUAAGAGGAAUCUCAUAUCACUAGUGGAAUGGUCGUGAGGGCAACUGGGCAAUAUCUAUCAAGUCUACAGAAGAAUAUAACCCAGAAAUGUGAAUUCUAUGAUACUGUCCUACAGAGACAGCUGCAGUUGUAAAAUUACAUAUGCACCAGGUUUAUUCUGUGCAGCAAAAGAUCAGAAAAUAACUUACCAUCAAAAGGACAGGGUAAGACUGUUUCACUCUGUGUGUGUAUACAAUCUGCUUUUCAGUUUUUAAAAACUACAUGAAUACAUUGCUUUUGUAAAAACAAAAGGUACUAAAAUUAGGCUUAGUUAAAAUAGCACAAUGAUAAACACAGCCUAAAGAUUUAUGGAAUCACCUUUAAAACUCUUACCUAAUCUUAGAUGUCCCAAAUCACUAAUCUUUUGUUUCAAUUUUGCAGUUCAAAAAACUCAGACUUUAAUCUUUUUUUCUAAGUUUUAAAACAACUUUUGCUCUAAAUCAUUCACUCUGACCUAAAGAUAAAUGUCUACAUUGAGGCACUAGAAUUUCUGCUCAUGCUGCCUAAGCUGAGAAGACUUUUUAAAAUUUAUACUUUUUCAUCUGUCUCUUCUACUUUUACUAGAAUUAAGUAUAUUACUUGUCAGUCUUAUUUGGAACACAUAUAAAUCACAAUGGUCUUUCAUGCAGAGCCCAUUAUGAACAUGAACGGGGGUUCAUCAAAAUGAAGGCCCCAAAACUAAGCCCAAUAACUACAUGAAGAGGGUGGUGGUGAUUGAUGGGGAAAACAAAGCUUAAGCAAAAUCACAUGGCUGGCUGGCUGGCUGGCUGACCGUUCAGCUGCAGAAAGGCUAAGCCUGCUAUCCUGAGGAGAGGGCAGCAUCCCUGGUCCCAGAAAUCACUGGCAAUGCCCUGGGGAAGAAGUGGGAAGCCAGAAGGCUUAAAUUUCAUACUAAAGAACACUGUAAUUGUUCAAGUACUUAUUGACACCUGUUCUUCAGUACGACUUCUCUCUCCUAAAAGUAGGACCCUCCAACUUAGUUAUUUUCUGCUUUUCUGUGUGCUCAUGGCACCUCGUGGUGAGGUAAGGCAGGGAGGAUAUUAAUGCACUUCCACCAGAGCUCCUCUGUGAAAAUUCAAACAACAUCCUAGAAGAUACAUGAUGAACUGUAAAGACAGAAGAUGGAAGACAUGGUCUGCUUUGAGGGACUAGUGUCUCUUUUCCCAGAAGUUUUGACCAGAGGAUUCAAGCCAGGAAAAACUUUUGGCCUGGUCAGAGCACACCAAGGGAGUCCAAGGCAGGGAAACUCACAAGCAGGACCAUUAGUAGAUGAAGGAACAAAACACUGAGACAGAAGCCUGGAAUAGAGAACCUCCCAGGCCUCCAGAUUGUCUGUGGUCUGAAGACAGCUAAAGCUGAGGAACUCUCCAAUGAAAAUGAGCAUAAAGAAGGUCAGGCCCUAGCCAGAAGAACUGAAGCUGGCAAAGCACAGAGCCAAGGGCCACAGUGCCAUAUGUCAUCAGGAAGAACAGGGAGGCCACUGGGCCAUGGACACAAGACAGCAAAUUACC